GACGAACGCUGGCGGCGUGCUUAACACAUGCAAGUCGAACGGAAAGGCCCUGCUUUUGUGGGGUGCUCGGGUGGCGAACGGGUGAGUAACACGUGAGUAACCUGCCCUUGACUUUGGGAUAACUUCAGGAAACUGGGGCUAAUACCGGAUAGGAGCUCCUGCUGCAUGGUGGGGGUUGGAAAGUUUCGGCGGUUGGGGAUGGACUCGCGGCUUAUCAGCUUGUUGGUGGGGUAGUGGCUUACCAAGGCUUUGACGGGUAGCCGGCCUGAGAGGGUGACCGGCCACAUUGGGACUGAGAUACGGCCCAGACUCCUACGGGAGGCAGCAGUGGGGAAUAUUGCACAAUGGGCGGAAGCCUGAUGCAGCAACGCCGCGUGCGGGAUGACGGCCUUCGGGUUGUAAACCGCUUUCGCCUGUGACGAAGCGUGAGUGACGGUAAUGGGUAAAGAAGCACCGGCUAACUACGUGC
rnacentral:rRNA from 1 species